AGCCAUUUAAUUAUUGCCAACCACACAAAAAAUAACAUAACAUAACAUAACAUAACAUAACAUAACAUAACAAUAAUCAUCCUACAUCAACGUGACUCAAAUUUCCUAAUACUACAACAAACACCUUAUUUUUUAACAUUGUAUUGAAUUAUUCACAUAUAUGAAUCGAUAGGAAGUGCAAAACUACUAUAACUGAUCAAUCUUAAAUCAUGAAGAAAUUUUAUUUUUUUAUUUUCUAAUAAAUAAUGCCUACUUCAUACUAAACGUAAUUUGUUAAAACAAUUAUAAAAAAAAUAACUUAAAUAGUACAAACAGGUUUCUAGUAAUCUUCUAAUCAUAUAUAACAUUUUUUUUUUUUUUUAAGUGUUGUUUUAGUUUGUAUUUUUUUCUUUUUUUAUAACUUUUUGCGUCAUUAUUUCGUUAUUUAGAAAUAUAUAUUUGUUCUAUUGUUUAUUAAUAAAAUUAUAAAACCAUACAAUUUGUAUUAUUAAAAGUAUUUAAAUUAAAGUGUAAUUAAAAAAACACGGUAGAAUAUAUAAAAUCAGUUAGUAAGGGCAAAAAAUCAUUACCACAUCGCAAUUUAUGUAAAAAAAAUGUUUACCACAAUUUAUAAAAUAAUUAUUAUUUCAUUUUUUAUAUGGGCAUGGACUAACAACAACAAAGCUCGCUUAAGAAAUAUAUUAACUCCAAAUUAUGAUAGAUCAUUGGCUCAACAUGAUAUUUCUCCAACGGGACAGAAUAAACAUUCCUAUUUAACAAAAUGUGAUGACAUAUACGACUUUUCUAAAAAUUUUGAACAAUAUAUGAUUAGUGAUAAUGAUCCAAAUGAGAAUGUUUUUAAAUAUGAUGAAUAUUGUCCACAUAAAUUAGUUUAUUUAACUAAUAUUAAAAAACAAUUAAUUAAAAUAUUAGAUAACCGACAGGAUCCUCUAUUAAAGUAUAUAUUAACAAAAAACCAAAACAUACAAUAUAAGGAUGUACUACAAAUAUAUGACCUAAUUAAACAUGUCAUUUCAAGUGAAGAAUAUUUACAAAUUAUAAAUGAAAGUCGUCAAUCAUUAAAAAGUAAAGGUUCUGACUAUAAUGACAUUUCUGAUACAGAUUUCAACUCGAUAUUACACAUAUUGAAUACAUAUUUCUAUCUUACAAACACUAAAAAAGAUUCUAAAAAACGCCUUAUGCAAUUACAACAAGAUGCUCACGAGCAACUAAUAUUUAAAAAGAAUAAAUCAAAAUCCAAAUUCAAAAUGAAAUAUUUAAAUAUAUUUAAACUCAGUAAUAAAAUAGAUAAAAAA
rnacentral:lncRNA from 1 species